GCGUCGUUCGUACGUUCGACGUUCGCCGGUUUUAAAGUUCGUUUCUCAUUGGGUGAUCACAGUCGCAGUUCACAAAGUUUCUUUUUUAAUUCGGUAAUAGUAUUGCAAUAUCGCGAGUCAUUUGCUACCGCUGGUUUAUACGCAUCUUGAAUAUAUUAUCCAAGUGAUUUUCGCGCAUUCUUUUCAAACCUUUUUAUGCGAUUUCGCACACGGAAUGUCACUGAACAAGUUUUCUAGUCGCAUUCCCUGAGUCCUGAGUUGAUUAUUCUGCAUGAAACAUUAUUUGUUGCAAAUAGUGCCCGUUUUCUUGGAGCGUGCGCGCAGUAUUAUCGCGUAUUAUCAUGCCGCGUUGCUGACUGCGCUGCGCGGUAUGCUCAGCGCCACUCAGCGCAGCUAUGAGCAGGUCGUUGGUUGACUCGGGCGUGUUUCUCGCGGUUGUUAUCAUUUUAUUUUGAGUUUGUAAUUUGCUUGCUCGCGUUGCAACAAAAAUUGUAUUAUUGACAAUACUUUAUGGUGUUUCAAAGGCAGCGGCGUAGCGUUCCUUGUCGGGGCCCCGUAUAAAAAUUUUUUUGGAGGCCCUUAUAUGGAGGUGUUUUGCACGUGAACUCGACAUCGGAGGAAAACUAUUCUUUCAUCAGAUUGUGUUUUGAACCUGAACCCGAUGUCAUAGGAAAACCAUUCUUGUAUCAGAUUGUGUUUUGAACCUGAACCCGACGUCAUAGGAGAACCAUUCUUUAUCAGAUUGUGUUUUGAACCUGAACCCGACAUCAUAGGAAAACCAUUCUUGUAUCAGAUUGUGUUUUAAACCUGAACCCCACAUCGAAGGAGAACCAUUCUUAUAUCAGAUUGAUUAAUUUGCGCAGCAUAGUCUGCGCUGCCAUUUGAACAGUACCGAGCCGGUUGGCAGCUUCGAGUGCGUCCGGUGUCCGCACGUUAAAGUCAGUCGGUGAUACGCUGUUGUGAGGAGUGUACGUGUUAUUUUUCUCCGUCGAUCUUCAUCGCGACUGUUAGCAAUUCUGUUGUUUAUACGGUACAAGCAUUAGAAUCGUGUGCCAUCGGAUUGGAUUUACUGGUCAACAUUAUUCAAUUGUUAAUUUGUGAAGAUAAAUCACGCGUUUUCUCUGUGGGGUAUUGUUGCCAGUGCAAAAGUACUACUUUAUGCGCUUUGGUACUUCAUAAACCGAACAACAAAGAAGUAUGUAACAUCAGGUACAAAAUUUCUUCUGUUAAAUUAUACAUAUACAUUUGGAUUGAUUUUAUGAUACAUGUAAGAAUACUGUUCUGUAAAUAAAGGAUAAUUUAAUUUUAA